GAGCGGUAACGCGGGAGCAAUCCUGGCGACGAGCGGCGGACGGGUGAGCAAUGCUUGGGAAUCUGCCCAGUAGUGGGGGACAACCCNGGGGAAACUCGGGCUAAUACCGCAUACGUCCUACGGGAGAAAGCGGGGGUCGCAAGACCUCGCGCUAUUGGAUGAGCCCAAGUCGGAUUAGCUAGUUGGUGGGGUAAAGGCCCACCAAGGCGACGAUCCGUAGCUGGUCUGAGAGGACGACCAGCCACACCGGAACUGAGACACGGUCCGGACUCCUACGGGAGGCAGCAGUGGGGAAUAUUGGACAAUGGGGGCAACCCUGAUCCAGCGACGCCGCGUGGGUGAAGAAGGCCUGCGGGUUGUAAAGCCCUUUCGGUGGGGAAGAAAAGUUCCGACCUAAUACGUCGGGACCGUGACGUUACCCAAAGAAGAAGCACCGGCUAACUCUGUG
rnacentral:rRNA from 1 species